rnacentral:rRNA from 1 species
UGGAGAGUUUGAUCCUGGCUCAGGACGAACGCUGGCGGCGUGCUUAACACAUGCAAGUCGAACGGAAAGGCCCUUCGGGGUACUCGAGUGGCGAACGGGUGAGUAACACGUGGGUGAUCUGCCCUGCACUUUGGGAUAAGCCUGGGAAACUGGGUCUAAUACCGAAUAUGAUCAUCGGCUUCAUGGUCGGUGGUGGAAAGCUUUUGCGGUGUGGGAUGGGCCCGCGGCCUAUCAGCUUGUUGGUGGGGUAAUGGCCUACCAAGGCGACGACGGGUAGCCGGCCUGAGAGGGUGACCGGCCACACUGGGACUGAGAUACGGCCCAGACUCCUACGGGAGGCAGCAGUGGGGAAUAUUGCACAAUGGGCGCAAGCCUGAUGCAGCGACGCCGCGUGAGGCAUGACGGCCUUCGGAGUUGUAAACCUCUUUCAGCCCAUACGAAAGCGCAACGUGACGGUAUGUGCAGAAGAAGGACCGGCCAACUACGUGCCAGCAGCCGCGGUA